AAUUCUUGGGUUUUAAUCGUCGAACGCGAGAUUAUUUAUUUCAAUCUUGUUUCAUUAGCCGAGAUUUAGUUAGUUUUAAUGUUGUCUCAUAUUUUUUUGAAACUAUUUGGAUUUGAUUUUCAGUCUAAUGGCGAAAUCAAUUGAGAUACUGUAUAUGAAGUUGUUGCUUCCUACAGAUCAAGAAAAUCAUCUAAGAAUUAGUCAAGGUUCGUUGUUGUUCGUCGUAGUGGAUUGUAAUUCGAUUGAUAAUUUUUUCAGGUUUUUUAUCCACUAGCAUAUGCUUAGUUCCUGGAGAAGAUGUUGCAUUAGUUUCUGGAGAAGAUGUUGCUGCUUG